CCUUUUUGUCUUUCUGUACAUACAUGCAUAUACAUAUAUUUUUGCUUUUUGUUGAUUUCCCGAUAAUUAUACUAUACGUACGGUUAUCGACUAUCGAUAAUCAUCAUUUACAUCUCAUAUAUAAUCAAAUAAGAAUAGUAACAAUAUACAAGAAAUAUUGUCAUGCAAUAUAGACCAUUACAGACGAUAUUGUUUAGCUGUAAAGAUUAAGAAUAUACAAUACUUAAUUUCUUAUCAGAUUAUCAGUUAUUGCGAAUGCAAGUGUUUUAUUGAUGCUAAAUUAAAAGCAUCUUAUCAAUGUUUCAAAUUGCGAAUAGAUACUAGUUGCAUUGCAGCUCUAUUACUCUUCAUAAUAUCCCACGAGACGUCGGCAUCAACGUAUUGAAAGACCAAGUCAUAGAAGGGAAAAUCAGUAAGAAAUCGAAGGACGAAAAUAAAAUUACAAUGAAAUUCUCCAAUUUUCGAAUAGCAGCGUCCCAACUCGUCGGUACAUUGACUGUUAAUGUAAUAAUGAUAGUCCAGAAAUAAGUUUCAACAGAUGAAUUAACAUGGUAUGGCAGUUAUUUUUUCAUGCUACCAGUUGGUUCUUUACUUGGAGGUUUUCUGGCUCAACGCAUAGGCAGCCGUAUAAUGUUUAUGUUUUCAUCUAUUACAUUUAUUUUGGCUUGGCUUUUGUAUUAUUGGGCAAAACAUUCAGACAUGAUUUUAGUUGCUCAAGCACUUAGUGGUCUGGAAAUUGGACUAUUAAAAGGACCUGGUUUAACUUUUGUAGCCCAAAUAUCACAACCGAAUUUAAGGAGUAUUUUUAUGACCAGCUGUACGGUGUCAUACUUUUAUGGACAAUUUUUUCCGAUACUCUUAAAACAAUUCCUAUAUUGGAGGACAAUCGUACUUAUUAACCUCGUUUUUCCAGUUAUUGGAUUAGUGAUGUGCUUUUUCAUACCAAACAGUCCAUAUUGGCUUGCAAGUAAGCGAUUUAAAUAAGAAUUAAUGAUAAAUAACAAUUUGAUAUAAUGAUACUAUAAUAUAUAAAACGAAAA